GGCCAUAUGACUAGUGCUGCCCAAUGGACUGUGAACAGAAAUGACAGCAUCACUCGCAUGGAGACUCCUCCAUCUCUGUCUUCCCUGUUGUGACAGUCUCAGAGCCUACGUUCUUUCAAUGGCUGGGCUACAAGAUGGUGACAGGCUGCCCAACCUGACACAGCAAGAAGGCGGCCAUCUGCAAACCAGAAAGAGAGCCCUCACCAGGAACCGGAUCUGCUGGCACCUUGAUCUUGGACUUCCUAUCCUUUAGAGCUGUGAGAAAUGUCGCCCCCAGGUCAAUGGGAUAUUUGUUACAGCACCAGGUACUGCCUGAGAACUCUACCUUUAGGGAGCCUGCGUGCUGGGUCACUGGGGAGACAAUGAAGGUGCUUGACACCCAGUUUGAAUAUUGUGUCACUGCAAAGCUGACUGCUGUUGAAGGAUAGCCAGUGAGAGGUCAUGGCAAGCCAUCAGAAGAAGCAGAAGUCAUGAGCAUGCUGAAGCUAUGAGGCCAAGACAAAAUGUCACAUUGCCACAAGAAGAGGGACAAACAGGCAACAGGCAGAGCCCAUGGGAAUCAGUAAUCUCCUGCUGACACUGAGGCCUUGGGACUAACUCAGAUCCAGUACUACUCUCUUGGGACCUGUUCUGACUCCAGCUCCUGUCCUUGGGGUCCACUGAGAUCCCUGUAGCCUUGUAAUAAGCCCACAUUAUCAUAUUUCCCCUGCCGGCUCCACCCUAGAGCAUUUCCAACAAUUUCCAGUGCUUUUCCCCUUCUCAUACCACUGGGCCUUUGCACGUGCUCGUGCCUCCCCAACUUGCCCUGCCUUCUCCUUCACCCAGACAACUCCUACUAAAUCUCUCAGACUCCUCAGCUGUGUCCCUUCCUAGGGGAGGACUCUCUUCCCUCCAGUGAGCCCGGUGGUCCUCCCUGGGAUCCCCUGCUCCUUGUCUUCCCUGCCGUCCUUACUGCCAUCCUUGUUCUCUACUCAGAAGGAGGCAGAGGCUGGCCUGCCCCCAAUCCCCUGUAGACUGACCAGAUGAAUUGACCUGGGCUGGGCAGGGCAGGCGUGUUUGACCAGUUGUCUGGGCACCCCAUGGCUCAGUCAAGUUGACACAUAAAGUUCACCGCCCCAGGGCCCCUUCGUUGUAUUUGUGUAUGAAUAAAACACAGCAUCCACUCCAGGUAUCUGAGGGUCCUGGAGGCAGGUUUUGUGAUCCCUUUUUACAGAUGAGGAUGCGGAGGUCCAGUUGUCACUCACCCAGAUCACACUCUCAUCUGCUGAUGGGAGGAGUAUUUGAUGGGAUGUGUGAGCCCGGCCGUCUCCCUUGGGACACAUCAGCUCAUUAAAUUUGCCAGCCCCUGCCUGAAAAAGUAUUUAAUUUGCCUUUUACAAUGCACCCAUUGCAAGUUAAUUAACUGGCAAUUGAAAGUUAUAGGUGGCAUUAGAAUUUAUUAAUAACAUUGGGAAUAAAUCUCCCUGGAAUUCAAUUAACUGA
rnacentral:lncRNA from 1 species